rnacentral:snRNA from 1 species
GUGCUCCUUUAGGCAGCACCUACGCUGAAAUUGGAACCAUACGGAGAUUAGCACGGCCCCCGCGCUGGGAUGACCCGCAGAUUGACGAAGCCUUCCAUAUUUUU